ACCUCCAAGUGUAAGUGGGGCUCUCCAGCACACCUGGAUGUGGAGGUGUGAUGCAGAGUGGUGGCUGCUCGUGACACUCAUUUCACCCCUUUCUGUGCAGGUGCCAGAAGCCCAGGAAGCACACAUCAAGGCUCGCUUGCCAGCGGGGUGCUGCCAAUAAAAUGUAGUCACGUGGAAUUUGGGAUGUGGAAAGGAGGUAGAAGUCAUCCUUUCCUCCCCCAUAGCAGCAGGUGUGCAGGCUCUGGUGGUCAGCUGGACUCCAUACUCCCCCACCAGUCACCAGCCUGGGGACCGUGGGGCUGCAAGGACCUCAGCAGCAGUUUCCCAAGUUUCCUGACUUCUUCCAUCCUCUGGAAAUCAGCUGUGAGCUAUCAGCUUCCCAGUUUGCACAAUUCAUCAAGAAAUUAUGCGGGGUCACUGGCACAAAUGAUGAGGCAUCUCCUGGAAGCUUAACUUCUUAUCCAUCCCAUCUCUUGGACAGAUGAUGCCAGUUAAUUACUUUGAAUGCUCCUCCACCAAGCCAAGGCCAGACUCCUGCAAUCAUAGGAUGGCAACACCACCUCUAAAGCACAGAACUUCAGCCUUUGCUUCGGAAGUGGCACCAUGGUCUCUUCAUUUUCCCUUUCUUCAAGGUCAGAAAACUGAAGCUGUUAGGAGUUUUAGUGUUAAGUUCCUUCCGAGGAUGUUAAUUAGGCUUCAAACUGUUUUGUUCUGAGAAAUAAAAACUAAACUCCAGUCAUUCAAGCUAA
rnacentral:lncRNA from 1 species